CGUGGGAGAGUUCUGUUUACAGACGCCGAAGGCGCAACCCGCCCGGAAACGCUCAGGCCAAAGGACCGCGGGGA
rnacentral:ncRNA from 1 species